CUGGAGGUUGCUUUGUUGUUGCUGUGAGGAUCGACGGGACACCGCCAUUUUCCCCCCGAAGCUCCGUCUGUCAACAAUAACAGCUGGAGCCACUGCGCUUCCGCUCAGUGCGAGAAGGCUUCCGGUUGGAGGCUAUGCGAGACAGAUGGGAAUCAAGAUUCAUAUCUGAAGAGCUGAAUAUUACAGAAUGCUUCCAGAGGAGAAAAGAUCGAUGUUUAAAAAGUCUUUGAUGG